GACGAACGCUGGCGGCGUGCCUAACACAUGCAAGUCGAACGGAGUGUGACUUCGGUUGCACUUAGUGGCGAACGGGUGAGUAACGCGUGAGAAACCUGCCUUUCAGUGGGGGACAACAGUUGGAAACGACUGCUAAUACCGCAUAAUGUUUCGAGAGGGCAUCCUCUUGAAGCCAAAGCUUUAUGUGCUGAAAGAUGGUCUCGCGUCUGAUUAGCUAGAUGGCGGGGUAACGGCCCACCAUGGCGACGAUCAGUAGCCGGUCUGAGAGGAUGAACGGCCACAUUGGGACUGAGAUACGGCCCAGACUCCUACGGGAGGCAGCAGUGGGGAAUAUUGGGCAAUGGGGGAAACCCUGACCCAGCAACGCCGCGUGAAGGAAGAAGGCCUUCGGGUUGUAAACUUCUUUUAGUUAGGGACGAAUACGUGACGGUACCUACAGAAAAAGACAACGGCUAACUAACGUG
rnacentral:rRNA from 1 species